GAUGAAGAACGCAGCUAAAUGCGAUAAGUAGUGCGAAUUGCAGAAUUCAGUGAAUCAUCGAAUCUUUGAACGCACAUUGCGCCCCUUGGUAUUCCAUGGGGCAUGCCUGUUCGAGCGUCAUUUGUACCUUCAAGCUUUGCUUGGUGUGGGGUGUUUGUCCUGAGGGACUCGCCUUAAAGUAAUUGGCAGCCAGUGUUUUGGUUUUGAAGCGCAGCACAAGUCGCGAUUCAAGGCUAUACGCCAGCUUCCACAAGCCUUUUUCACUUUUGACCUCGGAUCAGGUAGGGAUACCCGCUGAACUUAAGCAUAUCAAUAAGCGGAGGA
rnacentral:misc_RNA from 1 species